AGAGCGAGCUCUUCCCUGCUCCCUCUCUCACAUCCCUUGCAUGGUGGAGGGUGAGCUUUCUGGAAACCCCUCCCACAUGCAGGGUUUGCAGGAUGGUGAGCUUCAGCUUUCCUUGCUCUC
rnacentral:pre_miRNA from 13 species